AUACGGAGGGUGCAAGCGUUAUUCGGAAUCACUGGGCGUAAAGGACGCGUAGGCGGGUUGGCAAGUCAGAUGUGAAAUCCUACAGCUUAACUGUAGAACUGCAUUUGAAACUGCUAACCUAGAGUAUGGGAGGGGGAGAUGGAAUUAGUGGUGUAGGGGUAAAAUCCGUAGAUAUCACUAGGAAUACCGAAAGCGAAGGCGAUCUCCUGGAACAUAACUGACGCUAAGGCGUGAAAGCGUGGGGAGCAAACAGGAUUAGAAACCCUAGUAGACC
rnacentral:rRNA from 1 species